rnacentral:lncRNA from 1 species
AUGUCAAGUGCCUGGGCUCUCCCAUGGGCCCUGGGUCUUUCAACAUUUUCCCAGCUGUCAGGGUCAGGGCUUGGUGCAGGCAGCCUAGUCUUGCACUUGCUCUUCUCGCCUCUAGUCUCACCUCUUUUGCUUCAGCCUCUCUCUGCACAGCUGCCAAAAGUGGGGGGUGUGUCUUUCUGCCACCCCACUGGAGCUAGGCUCUGCCCAGAGGACAGACUUAGAGUGAUGUCUCAGGAGAGGACAAGGGCCACAGCAAACUCUGCUCUGCAUCCCAGAGCCCAAAGCACAGGCCCUGGCACAUGCAUUAUUUGGAUGGCAGCAAACAGCGUUUGGUGGGGCAGAGCAGCGGGUGGCAUUCAGGCUAGGGGCUGAAGACCAGGAAGGGUGGAAUGAAGAGCAGGUGGACACCAAGGCCUGCUGGAGGUGUGUGGUUGGGCUUCCAGGCCCUCAGACUCCGGAAACGACCAUGGACUUGGCAGCUUAAACAAUAAACGUUGAUUUUUCACGGUUCUAGAGGCUGGGAAGUCUAAGGUCAAGGUGCAUGCAGACCUGUUGACUGAUGAGGACCCUUUCCUGGUGUGCAGAUGUCUGCAUUCUCGUGUCCUCACGUGGUGGAGUAGAGAGAGGAAGCAAGCUCUCAGUGAUCUUUCUGUGAGGCUACACCCUCAUGACCUAAUCACCUCCUAAUGCCAUCAUAUUGGGGAUUAGGAUUUUAACACAUGCAUUUUGAGGGGGGACACAAACAUUUAGUCCAUAGCAGACUCCAGAGUCCCAACUUCAGACCUAUGUUACCCCCGACCCCAAACUUUGGUUAACUCCUACUCUUCCUUCAGACCUCAGCUUGUGUGUUGCCCCUCAGGGCCCCCAAAGUCUCCAUCAGUCCUCAUCAGAACGGUGCCCACCCUUCAGCUGUAGUGCAGAGGAACUAGAAGCACCACUUCCCAGCUUUCUCGCUGUGGGCCUGGGGCAGGCCCCCAACCUCUCUGUGCCUGUUUCUUCAUCCAUCGAGUGGGGAUACCUUCCCUCCUCCUGCUGUCAUUGUGAGUGUAAGAUGCGGUGAUGCGUGGAAGACAGCGAAGGCAACCACUGGCAGAGUAAAGCUCAACACACCGUCCCAUUAACCCAUAGAUCUUGAAAACCUGGUAGGUGCCAGGCAUAUCGUGGGUCCCACAGGACACAGCGGGGAACAGCCAGACAUGUGGCAGCCGUUGCUCUCUUUCUGGCUCUGUUUAUAUUGCCAGGAAAUGCCCAGGGCAGCCAGGCUGGAAGUUGAUCGGGGCACUGAGGAGCACUGGGGUUAGGGGGCCCUAGGAUCUGACAGGCCGGAAUAAGGGUCCCCACUCUUCAGUUGGUGUUGAGCACCAUCUCUUACCAGUGCGGGGAGCACAGCAAAGGCUCUGGAGCUGGCAUUCCAGAGGACAGUGGGCACUUGGAAGAUGG